AGAAGCAUUUAAUUCUGUAGAACAUAUAUAAGCAUAAUGUGUUCUUUAAAUUGGGCUAAUUGCUGGAAAACCUUCAUUAAGACAAUCAGCAGGAAAAUUACUAGAUGUUAUUAUAUAUCCAGUAUUAUCUUCAGAGACUACACGCCCGACAUCUGAUUUAGGAGAGCUUGCACCAUGAUUUAAAGCGCAACCUCCUAACCAUAGAUGAUGAUAUAGUCCAAUCUCUACUGGAAAGUAGAG
rnacentral:ncRNA from 1 species